GCCAGUGUGGCAUAGUGGUCUAAGCACUGGACUAUGACUCUAGAGGCCAGGGUUCAAAUCCCUGCUCAGCUA